ACUCAUAUUUCCAUAAAAGGCAGAUGUUUUUCUUUCUAUCCCUCAGGAAGAAAAUUAUCAAGAAGCAGUGAUGAAUCAAGUUAAGACACAGAAGACGAGCCCUAGCAAGGCCAGAAUAACUGAAAGAAAAUAUCAGAGGAAUCCAUCAGGAGGAAGGAGCUCAACAUCACAUUACACAAGGAAUAGUGUCAUGACUCGGGACUCAGGACUUGUGAACACAAUCUUGAAGCAUUUAGAAUAAACGUGUUCUGUGGAAGAGGAGCAGGGAC
rnacentral:lncRNA from 1 species